rnacentral:rRNA from 1 species
GAUGAACGCUGGCGGCGUGCCUAAUACAUGCAAGUCGAGCGAACAGAUGAGGAGCUUGCUCCUCUGACGUUAGCGGCGGACGGGUGAGUAACACGUGGAUAACCUACCUAUAAGACUGGGAUAACUUCGGGAAACCGGAGCUAAUACCGGAUAAUAUAUUGAACCGCAUGGUUCUAUAGUGAAAGACGGUUUUGCUGUCACUUAUAGAUGGAUCCGCGCCGCAUUAGCUAGUUGGUAAGGUAACGGCUUACCAAGGCAACGAUGCGUAGCCGACCUGAGAGGGUGAUCGGCCACACUGGAACUGAGACACGGUCCAGACUCCUACGGGAGGCAGCAGUAGGGAAUCUUCCGCAAUGGGCGAAAGCCUGACGGAGCAACGCCGCGUGAGUGAUGAAGGUCUUCGGAUCGUAAAACUCUGUUAUUAGGGAAGAACAAAUGUGUAAGUAACUAUGCACGUCUUGACGGUACCUAAUCAGAAAGCCACGGCUAACUACGU